CCCCAAACGUGUGUAUGCACAUAAGGAAGGUGCAGUUGUAAUUGUGCGGCUCUCCGGCCUGUCUGGCACGGCCCUUGCUUCCAACAGAAAGCUGACAAUCUCCGCUGCCUGGGCGAAACACAAAGGUCUCCCGUUCUUCCAAGGCUCCGGCCGAUAACGCUGCGCUGGGGAAUUGUGCGAACUCUGUGGCUCCGGAAAGCUGUUGAAAGUCCAUGAGGAAAUACCUCCAUCCACCUUACACAUACUGUGUAUACAUACAUUUACUAUAAACACAAAUGGGCACAUAAAAACUAUAAAAUCACGCUAAAAAAGAACUAAAAAAUUGCUCUUUGCCCCCAAAUCUGUAAUUCAGGACAACUGAAAUUUCUCCUUAAGUUGAAGACAGCAUCAGCUGAGCAAAGUUGCCAUGACAGAGAUCAAGCAAAAUGUU